UACGGAGGGUGCAAGCGUUAUCCGGAUUCACUGGGUUUAAAGGGUGCGUAGGCGGAUAGGUAAGUCCGUGGUGAAAUCCUGCAGCUUAACUGCAGAACUGCCGUGGAUACUAUCUAUCUUGAAUGUCGUGGAGGUUAGCGGAAUAUGUCAUGUAGCGGUGAAAUGCUUAGAUAUGACAUAGAACACCCAUUGCGAAGGCAGCUAACUACGCGAAUAUUGACGCUGAGGCACGAAAGCGUGGGGAUCAAACAGG
rnacentral:rRNA from 1 species